AUGAUCUUACUAUGCAGACUGUAUUUCCAGAAACCUGCUCAGCCAGCUCCUGAUGGAGAACACAUGCAGGAAGAAGUUGGUCCCACUGAAGCAGGAGAGCAAGGAGGUACAUCUUGAUUGUGCACUGAACCAGAAAUAUUUGGUUGACUUCAACAAGAAAGAUAAAGACCAUCAACGGCCAGAACCAGCAUUAUCAGGUCUCAGAAAGUACAAGAGAGUUGGAAUUGGACACACACCAGGAAGAGAGCUUCCUGAAGAAUAAGUUGCUUUCUCAGGAGUCCCUGAUGACCAACAUCCUGAAUGAAAACAGCACUUGAGAGACAACUUGGGGGACCGCCUUUCAUUAUGUGUGCUAGAGGAGAAACAGCAAUACGUCUGUGCUUCUAAAUGUUCGUUAAGAAUAUGCUUUUAGAAAUAUUUUUGUUAUGAUUUUAAUUGAAGUUUUCUUUUUGUUGUUUCAUAUUUAUAUGUUCUUGUUACUAUUUUUACUUUCAAAUAGUUUUAAAUAUUUUUAUUCAUUUUAAUCCUGUUUUGUUGUUAUAAUGUAUUUGUUAUGAAUAAAUUUGAAUUCUAUCUCUUGACUAUUAAGACCAUCAUUCUUACUCAAGGGUUCUGUCCCCUCCUGUGGACUUCGAACUGACAGCUAGAGAUGGAUCUCUGCAUGUUCCAUGGAGCCUGAGCUAAUAGGAGAAUUCAAAGUCACCAAGGGGUACCCAGUGUGACAGUGUCUUUUGUGUGGACA